AGGCCUUUGUCGAUAUCAAAUGAUCAGUUUCACGGAUUUGGUAACUUUCUAUCACACAAUGAUGGUGUACAUAUACGAAUACUGUCAAACUUAGACAUUUUUACGCGCCAUUUUGAUGAUUUCUGUAUUAUAAGGUUUAAAAAAAUAAUAAUUGACAUAUCUUAAUUGUAUUUCCUUAAGUUUGUGACAUCUUCUGAACUCAUUAAAAUUGGAAGACUUCAUCAAGUGAAUUAUGUCAUACUAAUGUCGGCCAUCUUGAAUUUGGCGGCCAUAUUGGAUUUUUUUUUCGUGGCUCCAUAUCUGAAUUUUGU
rnacentral:lncRNA from 1 species